UACGUAGGGGGCAAGCGUUGUCCGGAUUUAUUGGGCGUAAAGAGCGUGUAGGCGGUCAGGUAGGUCCGUUGUGAAAACUCGAGGCUCAACCUCGAGACGCCGAUGGAAACCAUCUGACUAGAGUCCGGAAGAGGAGAGUGGAAUUCCUGGUGUAGCGGUGAAAUGCGCAGAUAUCAGGAAGAACACCCGUGGCUAAGGCGGCUCUCUGGACGGUUUCUGACGCUAAGACGCGAAAGCGUGGGGAGCAAACAGG
rnacentral:rRNA from 1 species